CUACGGGUCGCACCAGUGGGGAAUAUUGGACAAUGGGGGCAACCCUGAUCCAGCAAUGCCGCGUGAGUGAUGAAGGCCCUAGGGUUGUAAAGCUCUUUCAAUCGUGACGAUGAUGACGGUAGCGAUAGAAGAAGCCCCGGCUAACUUCGUGCCAGCAGCCGCGGUAAUACGAAGGGGGCUAGCGUUGUUCGGAUUUACUGGGCGUAAAGCGCACGUAGGCGGCGAAUCAAGUCAGGGGUGAAAGGCCGGGGCUCAACCUCGGAACUGCCUUUGAUACUGAUUUGCUUGAGUCCGAGAGAGGGUGGUGGAACUCCAAGUGUAGAGGUGAAAUUCGUAGAUAUUUGGAAGAACACCAGUGGCGAAGGCGGCCACCUGGCUCGGUACUGACGCUGAGGUGCGAAAGCGUGGGGAGCAAACAGGAUUAGAUACCCCUGUAGUC
rnacentral:rRNA from 1 species